rnacentral:rRNA from 1 species
CAGUCGCCGGGUAAUACGGAGGGUGCAAGCGUUAAUCGGAAUUACUGGGCGUAAAGCGUGCGUAGGCGGUUCGUUAAGUCUGUUGUGAAAGCCCCGAGCUCAACCUGGGAAUGGCAAUGGAUACUGGCGAGCUAGAGUGUGUCAGAGGAUGGUGGAAUUCCCGGUGUAGCGGUGAAAUGCGUAGAGAUCGGGAGGAACAUCAGUGGCGAAGGCGGCCCCCUGGACAAAGACUGACGCUCAGGUGCGAAAGCGUGGGGAGCAAACAGGAUUAGAUACCCGCGUAGUCCCUGUCUCUUAUACC